UUAAAUUGAAGAGUUUGAUCAUGGCUCAGAUUGAACGCUGGCGGCAGGCCUAACACAUGCAAGUCGAACGGUAACAGAAAGAAGCUUGCUGCUUUGCUGACGAGUGGCGGACGGGUGAGUAAUGUCUGGGAAACUGCCUGAUGGAGGGGGAUAACUACUGGAAACGGUAGCUAAUACCGCAUAACGUCGCAAGACCAAAGAGGGGGACCUUCGGGCCUCUUGCCAUCGGAUGUGCCCAGAUGGGAUUAGCUUGUUGGUGGGGUAACGGCUCACCAAGGCGACGAUCCCUAGCUGGUCUGAGAGGAUGACCAGCCACACUGGAACUGAGACACGGUCCAGACUCCUACGGGAGGCAGCAGUGGGGAAUAUUGCACAAUGGGCGCAAGCCUGAUGCAGCCAUGCCGCGUGUAUGAAGAAGGCCUUCGGGUUGUAAAGUACUUUCAGCGGGGAGGAAGGGAGUAAAGUUAAUACCUUUGCUCAUUGACGUUACCCGCAGAAGAAGCACCGGCUAACUCCGUGCCAGCAGCCGCGGUAAUACGGAGGGUGCAAGCGUUAAUCGGAAUUACUGGGCGUAAAGCGCACGCAGGCGGUUUGUUAAGUCAGAUGUGAAAUCCCCGGGCUCAACCUGGGAACUGCAUCUGAUACUGGCAAGCUUGAGUCUCGUAGAGGGGGGUAGAAUUCCAGGUGUAGCGGUGAAAUGCGUAGAGAUCUGGAGGAAUACCGGUGGCGAAGGCGGCCCCCUGGACGAAGACUGACGCUCAGGUGCGAAAGCGUGGGGAGCAAACAGGAUUAGAUACCCUGGUAGUCCACGCCGUAAACGAUGUCGACUUGGAGGUUGUGCCCUUGAGGCGUGGCUUCCGGAGCUAACGCGUUAAGUCGACCGCCUGGGGAGUACGGCCGCAAGGUUAAAACUCAAAUGAAUUGACGGGGGCCCGCACAAGCGGUGGAGCAUGUGGUUUAAUUCGAUGCAACGCGAAGAACCUUACCUGGUCUUGACAUCCACAGAACUUUCCAGAGAUGGAUUGGUGCCUUCGGGAACUGUGAGACAGGUGCUGCAUGGCUGUCGUCAGCUCGUGUUGUGAAAUGUUGGGUUAAGUCCCGCAACGAGCGCAACCCUUAUCCUUUGUUGCCAGCGGUCCGGCCGGGAACUCAAAGGAGACUGCCAGUGAUAAACUGGAGGAAGGUGGGGAUGACGUCAAGUCAUCAUGGCCCUUACGACCAGGGCUACACACGUGCUACAAUGGCGCAUACAAAGAGAAGCGACCUCGCGAGAGCAAGCGGACCUCAUAAAGUGCGUCGUAGUCCGGAUUGGAGUCUGCAACUCGACUCCAUGAAGUCGGAAUCGCUAGUAAUCGUGGAUCAGAAUGCCACGGUGAAUACGUUCCCGGGCCUUGUACACACCGCCCGUCACACCAUGGGAGUGGGUUGCAAAAGAAGUAGGUAGCUUAACCUUCGGGAGGGCGCUUACCACUUUGUGAUUCAUGACUGGGGUGAAGUCGUAACAAGGUAACCGUAGGGGAACCUGCGGUUGGAUCACCUCCUUACCUUAAAGAAGC
rnacentral:rRNA from 1 species